UAUUACAUAUUAUUAACUUAUCGCGUAGUUUGUAAGACUCCGCAUUGGUUUAUUAGCUAUUAUUAUUUUAUUGCUGAGUUUAUAAGACUCCGCGUUGGCUUAUUAGCUAUUCUUAUGCUAUCGCUGAGCGCUCGUCUCUUACGUAUUCUAAUCGCUAAGGGUCAGGGUCAUAAUUUUUGCCCAGUUUGACAGUUCACACUUGAAACAUAUGUUAUUUAUUUUAUGCUAGCUGUCGAGUGCAUAGCGCGUACGUUCCCCUACUUAUCAUAUUUUUAUGUUCAUGCAUGUUCAUGAACAUUCUGCGGGGGGCCAGAGAAGGUUAUAGCUAACAAUUUCUGUCUCUGGUUUCUCUUCUUUAUUAGAUACACGACAAAUAGCGAUAUUAUAAUUAUUACUAGUCCCAACGAAAUAUGUCCAUUCAUUGUGUGGAAGACAAGAUCUUCAAUAUGUACCUUUUGCCGCUGCAGGUCUUCUAUGCUUUGUUGAACUCGUUGUAGCUCUACUGAGUUAUUUGCGACAAUGUGUUGAAGUGGUGUUAUCCCAUGUGACGUUCUAGUCGAUUAUUUUGAGGAAAAGUGGCGAGUACCUUGCAGUAUUUGUAGAUACUAGAUCCUGCGGAGUAAUAAUGUUAAUUUUACCUAUUCUGGCUGAGCAUCCAGCAUAUAGCUCGAUUAUGCCUUGGUUUGGUAACUGGACUAUCUCCUCGUAGUUUCCGCAUAUAAUGUGGGCAGACUUCUCCUUAAAUACUUUAAAGAGCCAUCGGUUUUUUCCAUUGAGUUUCUUGACGAACUGAUCAUGCAAUCCUUAUGUUCGUGCCUGAACAUUCUGCAGGGCCCAGAGAAUAAGCCGAGUAUGCCACCAUCACCUUGGUCUUUUGUUCAGGUGGCGGUUCCCAGGCCAAGUGAAGUCGUGUCUCUUUAAAGAACUUCUGCGGCUUAUAGGUGUCAUCGUUUUUUGCAUUAAUACAGCUGAUUGCAUCUGUUGAGGAAGUUGUCGAUCGCUUCAUUAUUGCUGAGGCCAAAGCCUCCAAGUGAUAGACGUCCUUCUGUUGAUUCUGAUGCCUUAUUGUGCCUAUUGUUUCGCUUGUAGUGGUUAUUGUUGUUUCCUUUAAUAUGUUGCUGCUACUUCCAAUUGACUCCUUUUCUGAUGUAAUUGUACUUGCAGCUUGUAGUGGUCGAAAAUAAAUAACAAUUCGAAUUAUAGGUACAAAUACAAAUAGUGGGAACGGGUAAUAAAACUUAAUUUGGUAUGCGUGAGUCACCCUACUUUUUUUUUUUGGUGUUAGGAGAAGACAUGCAAAUCAGGCGAUUGCACCGCAAGCGCAGUUUAGAAUCGUACGACUGUACCGCAAGCGGACAAGUUUAGAAUCGUACGAUUGUACCGCAAGCGGACAAGCGACAAACGCAACGAUAAGUACAGCAGCGCUUAGCGCCACUUUAGUUUAAUACAGCGUCAGAAAGUAAAAGAUCGUUGAUGCGGGCAGACGUUAAUCGCCGCAGUGAACGAGUUAAAAACUAAAAAAAAACGUGGUGAUCGAACGCUAUAGAUAAACCAAUUGCAGUGUUAAAUACAAAUUUAAAGAGUGAUAAUUAGUCGAUUAUAAAUCGAGAGGCAGCCACUGGCAGCAAAACAGUAUAGUUGUUGAAGCCUCCUCCAGGCCGAAGACUUCGGUCACGAGCAAGUGUCUCUUCCUAGUAUGCUUUGUACAACGCGCCAAUAUCAUUCUCAAAGUAUAUUCCUCAACAACAACUUAAUUGCACCCCAACAACAACAGUUAUUUUCGUCACAACUGUCAACUCACCACGACUUUAAAAUACCUUGCUCACGCCAAGUCAACUACGCAACUACGGUGAACUAUAUAACUUAGCUUACUACGUUUGAGAAACUGCAGCUGGCUACAUAAAGACAACAACAGCGUAAGACGAAACCAACACAAUCAUAUGCCGGUCCUAGACAACUUCUAAAGAGAGAUUAAGUAAUAUACUCGACUCAAGUGUAGGGUAUCUGCUGGCGCACUAAGGUGAAAUAUUUGCAAACGCACAUCAAAGCAAAAUAAAAUGUAAAAGAAAAAGAGAAAUAUUUGAACGGGAAGGGCGGAUAGCUGAUACACUCACCGGAAGGGUUCUGCUAAUAUUUAACUAACAAAA